ACCAGGUAAAGACUGCUUGCAUAUACAUGAGUGAAUCAAUUAACCUGUUGUAGAUUUUUUCGAACCUAAAAGAACAUGACUUUUCUCGCGAAAUAGUACAAAAAUUUGAACUUUCCAUUUCUGGUGACGCUGGUAGUCAAUGCAACCAAAUCAAAAAGUACUAUUAUAAUCCACGAGACACUGUCAAUAUACAUCAAAACCCGAGAAGAAUAUUACUACCGACGUGAGUGACUGAGUGGACAGUCUAGGGUUCGAAUCCUGGCUUGGGUUUCCCUCUUGAUAGCAAUACAAUCACCGACUAUACUGGCUGGGAUUUUUGAAGUUUUCUCUGUCACACUACGAUUGCAGCGUUGAAGGCAAAUGCGGUAAAGUUUUGGAAAAAGGGUGGCAAGUCGGUCCGCACAUAAGGAGACAGAAGCGAAAAGUAGGAAUAAAGGUAAAAACUGAGAACCUGCAAAGAUGUACUG